CAACUAAGGGUGUCCCUAAACUAUGGACUUGGACAGUCCAUUUUGGACUACUAAACUAUGGACUUCGAUCGAAAACUAUGGACUUCACCAGAUGGCGCUGCCUGUCAAAGUCCAUAUUUUAGAACCUGAACGCUCCACCAAUGGCCAUACUAAACUAUGGACUUUUCCUGAAAAAAGCCACGAGCUUUCUAGAGCUGGCGGGACACUUACUUUUUUAAAGCCAAAAUUUGUUUGGUUCAUAGUUUUUUAUUAUAAUAAUAGUAUCAAAUGCCA
rnacentral:lncRNA from 1 species